rnacentral:misc_RNA from 1 species
UAGGGAAGGUCAAACUGAUACUAUAUCGCCCAAAAAGUCCCCUGGGUUCACUGGCAAACCAGUCUCAGAGCCACAAAAAGGUGCUAAACUAUCUGGUAAACCUCAGAAUGAUCAUAAAAAAUGGGUAGCUGAAUCUGAUACUGGCAAUUUUAUUGCUGCUGAUAACUUAAAUCCUCCUCGUGAUCAACCUAUUAAUGAAAGAAGUAAGAUAUUUUCUACCAAUGAAAGGAAAAAAA